UUAAGUUAGAAAGGGCGCACGGUGGAUGCCUUGGCACUAGGAGCCGAUGAAGGACGGGACGAACACCGAUAUGCUUCGGGGAGCUGUAAGCAAGCUUUGAUCCGGAGAUUUCCGAAUGGGGAAACCCACCACUCGUAAUGGAGUGGUAUCCAUAUCUGAAUACAUAGGAUAUGAGAAGGCAGACCCGGGGAACUGAAACAUCUAAGUACCCGGAGGAAGAGAAAGCAAAUGCGAUUCCCUGAGUAGCGGCGAGCGAAACGGGACCAGCCCAAACCAAGAGGCUUGCCUCUUGGGGUUGUAGGACACUCUGUACGGAGUUACAAAGGGACGAGGUAGAUGAAGAGGUCUGGAAAGGCCCGCCAUAGGAGGUAACAGCCCUGUAGUCAAAACUUCGUUCUCUCCUGAGUGGAUCCUGAGUACGGCGGAACACGUGAAAUUCCGUCGGAAUCCGGGAGGACCAUCUCCCAAGGCUAAAUACUCCCUAGUGACCGAUAGUGAACCAGUACCGUGAGGGAAAGGUGAAAAGCACCCCGGAAGGGGAGUGAAAGAGAUCCUGAAACCGUGUGCCUACAAGUAGUCAGAGCCCGUUAACGGGUGAUGGCGUGCCUUUUGUAGAAUGAACCGGCGAGUUACGAUCCCGUGCAAGGUUAAGCAGAAGAUGCGGAGCCGCAGCGAAAGCGAGUCUGAAUAGGGCGAAUUGAGUACGUGGUCGUAGACCCGAAACCAGGUGAUCUACCCAUGUCCAGGGUGAAGUUCAGGUAACACUGAAUGGAGGCCCGAACCCACGCACGUUGAAAAGUGCGGGGAUGAGGUGUGGGUAGGGGUGAAAUGCCAAUCGAACCUGGAGAUAGCUGGUUCUCUCCGAAAUAGCUUUAGGGCUAGCCUCAAGGUAAGAGUCUCGGAGGUAGAGCACUGAUUGGACUAGGGGCCCCUACCGGGUUACCGAAUUCAGUCAAACUCCGAAUGCCGAUGACUUAUCCUUGGGAGUCAGACUGCGAGUGAUAAGAUCCGUAGUCGAAAGGGAAACAGCCCAGACCGCCAGCUAAGGUCCCAAAGUAUACGUUAAGUGGAAAAGGAUGUGGAGUUGCUUAGACAACCAGGAUGUUGGCUUAGAAGCAGCCACCAUUUAAAGAGUGCGUAAUAGCUCACUGGUCGAGUGACUCUGCGCCGAAAAUGUACCGGGGCUAAACGUAUCACCGAAGCUGCGGACUGUUCUUCGAACAGUGGUAGGAGAGCGUUCUAAGGGCUGUGAAGCAAGACCGGAAGGACUUGUGGAGCGCUUAGAAGUGAGAAUGCCGGUAUGAGUAGCGAAAGAGGGGUGAGAAUCCCCUCCACCGAAUGCCUAAGGUUUCCUGAGGAAGGCUCGUCCGCUCAGGGUUAGUCGGGACCUAAGCCGAGGCCGAAAGGCGUAGGCGAUGGAUAACAGGUUGAUAUUCCUGUACCACCUCCUCACCAUUUGAGCAAUGGGGGGACGCAGGAGGAUAGGGUAAGCGCGGUAUUGGAUAUCCGCGUCCAAGCAGUUAGGCUGGGAAAUAGGCAAAUCCGUUUCCCGUGAAGGCUGAGCUGUGAUGGCGAGCGAAUUAUAGUAGCGAAGUUCCUGAUUCCACACUGCCAAGAAAAGCCUCUAGCGAGGUGAGAGGUGCCCGUACCGCAAACCGACACAGGUAGGCGAGGAGAGAAUCCUAAGGUGAUCGAGAGAACUCUCGUUAAGGAACUCGGCAAAAUGACCCCGUAACUUCGGGAGAAGGGGUGCUCUGUUAGGGUGCAAGCCCGAGAGAGCCGCAGUGAAUAGGCCCAGGCGACUGUUUAGCAAAAACACAGGUCUCUGCGAAGCCGUAAGGCGAAGUAUAGGGGCUGACGCCUGCCCGGUGCUGGAAGGUUAAGAGGAGCGCUUAGCGUAAGCGAAGGUGCGAAUUGAAGCCCCAGUAAACGGCGGCCGUAACUAUAACGGUCCUAAGGUAGCGAAAUUCCUUGUCGGGUAAGUUCCGACCCGCACGAAAGGCGCAACGAUCUGGGCACUGUCUCAACGAGAGACUCGGUGAAAUUAUAGUACCUGUGAAGAUGCAGGUUACCCGCGACAGGACGGAAAGACCCCGUGGAGCUUUACUGCAGCCUGAUAUUGAAUGUUGGUACAGCUUGUACAGGAUAGGUAGGAGCCUUGGAAACCGGAGCGCCAGCUUCGGUGGAGGCAUCGGUGGGAUACUACCCUGGCUGUAUUGACCUUCUAACCCGCCGCCCUUAUCGGGCGGGGAGACAGUGUCAGGUGGGCAGUUUGACUGGGGCGGUCGCCUCCUAAAAGGUAACGGAGGCGCCCAAAGGUUCCCUCAGAAUGGUUGGAAAUCAUUCGCAGAGUGUAAAGGCACAAGGGAGCUUGACUGCGAGACCUACAAGUCGAGCAGGGACGAAAGUCGGGCUUAGUGAUCCGGUGGUUCCGCAUGGAAGGGCCAUCGCUCAACGGAUAAAAGCUACCCCGGGGAUAACAGGCUUAUCUCCCCCAAGAGUCCACAUCGACGGGGAGGUUUGGCACCUCGAUGUCGGCUCAUCGCAUCCUGGGGCUGUAGUCGGUCCCAAGGGUUGGGCUGUUCGCCCAUUAAAGCGGUACGCGAGCUGGGUUCAGAACGUCGUGAGACAGUUCGGUCCCUAUCCGUCGCGGGCGCAGGAAAUUUGAGAGGAGCUGUCCUUAGUACGAGAGGACCGGGAUGGACGCACCGCUGGUGUACCAGUUGUUCUGCCAAGGGCAUCGCUGGGUAGCUAUGUGCGGACGGGAUAAGUGCUGAAAGCAUCUAAGCAUGAAGCCCCCCUCAAGAUGAGAUUUCCCAUUCCGCAAGGAAGUAAGAUCCCUGAAAGAUGAUCAGGUUGAUAGGUCUGAGGUGGAAGUGUGGCGACACAUGGAGCUGACAGAUACUAAUCGAUCGAGGACUUAACCAA
rnacentral:rRNA from 2 species